rnacentral:rRNA from 1 species
GAUGAACGCUGGCGGCGUGCCUAAUACACGCAAGUCGAGCGAACAGACGAGGAGCUUGCUCCUCUGACGUUAGCGGCGGACGGGUGAGUAACACGUGGAUAACCUACCUAUAAGACUGGGAUAACUUCGGGAAACCGGAGCUAAUACCGGAUAAUAUAUUGAACCGCAUGGUUCAAUAGUGAAAGACGGUUUUGCUGUCACUUAUAGAUGGAUCCGCGCCGCAUUAGCUAGUUGGUAAGGUAACGGCUUACCAAGGCAACGAUGCGUAGCCGACCUGAGAGGGUGAUCGGCCACACUGGAACUGAGACACGGUCCAGACUCCUACGGGAGGCAGCAGUAGGGAAUCUUCCGCAAUGGGCGAAAGCUUGACGGAGCAACGCCGCGUGAGUGAUGAAGGUCUUCGGAUCGUAAAACUCCGUUAUUAGGGAAGAACAAAUGUGUAAGUAACUAUGCACGUCUUGACGGUACCUAAUCAGAAAGCCACGGCUAACUACGUG